UUCUACCUUUUUUGCCCUAACCCCAAAUUUGAUUUUCUCCCUUCCCUCUCUUUCUCACCUGCUCCUAACCACCUCCAUUUUCUCCGGGGACUCCUGUUCACUCCGGCGAGUUGAAAGUACACAUCUCUCUAUCUUUCUCUAACCCUCCCUCUUCAAAAUGUGUUGGCAUUGUCCAUUGAAUUUGUUCUUUUUAUAUUUAUGAGUUUUUCCUCUAUAACUUGAGGGUUUUUUUUUUUCAUGAAACCUACUCUGGUUCAGAGCAGACAUUUUUGCCAUAAAUUUAAUCAAUAUUUUUGUUUCCAUUUGUACAUCUUAAUUAGCAAGGGAAUAAUUCUUUUUUAUUUUUAAAUUUUUUUAUAAUGAAUUGAUUGACGAGCUUGUUUGUAUUGAACCCUUUAUAUCGGAAUGAUUGUAAGUAUUGAAACCUCCUUCACCAAUUUCCCAGUGAUACUGGGCGGGAAUUUCCUUUUCUUUUCCAAAAUGUAAUUUUUACAUGUUUUCUUGUUAUAAACCCUAAACCCUACUACGUGUGUGAAGGAUUUGAUUCAUGUUUGUGCUUCAAUCUAUAAACCUCUUUUUCUAUUUUUCGUUUAUUUAAUUUUUUUCCCCUAAUAAUUGUUUGAUCAGUUUAUAGGUGUGGAUCUCUUUGUAUCAAUUUGAAUAUUCUAUGAAUGAUUUGUUUUUCUGGCUUAUAUUCCUAUUUGGUAGAUUUUUCUUUUAUGCUUUGUUUUGUUUGUGGAGGAACUGAUCCGAAUACCUCAACAAAAUACGUAAGGUUGCUGUACAGGAUUUGUUUUUUUUUUCUUUUCUUGUCAGCAUUCUCUGCAAUCAAACAGGGAAAGCUACAUGUCUCCACCCAACAAACUAACAAAAUUAUCACAUAUCUGGUUCAUAAAUUCAUCACAUUUGCAAUUUUUGAUGGGUUAGAGCUCCUUGCCCCUGUUUUCUUCCUUCUUUGUCAAGAACCUAUCUAUUCUCUUGCAUUUUUAUUGUUGCCUUUUCCGUUACAAACUUGAUCAAUGAUUUUGUUUCAAUCUAUGAAGCCCCUUUUUUAUGUUGUUUUCAAUAUGCUAAUGGCAAUUUUUGUUCUUUUAUCUAACGUUUUGGGUUUAUAUCUGUGGAUCUCUUUCUAUGAAUAUCAAUAUCUGAAUAUUUUGAGUAUAUAAAUAGUUGAUAUAUGGUGUUGGAAAUCUUUUAUGCAUUGUUUGGUUGUGGAGAAACCUAACAAAUACCAUUAAUUGUUACAUUGAGGUUUUUUCUUUUCCUAACUUUCGUAUUAGGAACCAAAUGACAGAAAGUUGUUCUAUUGCAUUUUAUUUCCUCAAAUUUCUCUACUACAACAUAGAGUUAUGUGAUUGGAAAUUAUGUAUAUAAUGUACAGUCCUAACUUUGGUUAGUCUCUAGUUUUUUUAAUUCUGGCCCUAAAUAUUAGUCAGAAAAGUUUUUCCUGUGAUGGUUAGAUUUUUCUACUGUCUAACUUGAUUCUGAGACGACUUUUCUAAUUCUUUAGUUUUAUUCCUUGAUGAAUUUAAUUUUUUCUCCUUGGGAACAUAAUGGAUGCAUUGUAUAAUUAUUUUAAAAUUUAUGAUUUAUGCUUAUCUAUUUUCAGCACAUUAGUUUAGUAAAAUUGUAAGAUGUGAGAAAAAGAUAAAAUUGUAAUUUAUUUAGGAUCUAAGAAGAUUUCUGGUAUAAGUUUUCAUAUCUACAAGGAUGAUCACUGUGGAAUAUAAUGAGGCUUUGGGAGUUAUUAUUCCUUUAUUCUUCCCUACAUAUUUCUUAAUCAUCUCUGAAUCUUUCUAAUAAUUUUUUAUUUUGGGUUAUGAUGCUGUCAACAAAGCAUUCUCCCUGUUUACCUUUCAAUUGUAAUAAAUAAUUAUAGUAAUAAUAAUAAUAAUAAUAAUAAUAAUAAUAAUAACAGUAAUAAAAUUGCUAACAUUAGUAGUAAUAACAAGAAAAAAUAAUAAUUUGUAAUAAUAUCAUAAGAAUUACCAUUAUACCUGUUAAAAAACCUCGUUGUACGAUAGAUAUUUAUGUCUUUAUCCAAAAUGAAAACUAUUCAACCACAAAGCUUAGGGUGUUAUUCUUAUUCUUCUUCUUGUUAUUAUUAAUUUGAAUAUCAAUUUGUCUAAUUCAGAAUUGAUUUUUCAUAGAUUAUCAUCUUAUGAAUAAGUGGUGGAUAUCGUAAACAAUUCUUAAAUUGUCGCCCAUAUGUAGAGAGUUUGGGAAUACAUUGUUCUUCGAUUAUAUUUUAUGGCUUAUGUUUUAUUAUACUUCAUGGAAAUUUAGUACCAGUUUCUCUUGUUGUUUCUAUAUAUGCUUAGACUUGAUGACAUGCACCAUUGGUUAUAUAACUAAACAGUGUAUGCACCUAAUCUACCUCAUGAAUCUAGAGAACCAAGGGAAGGUGAUCUCAAAAUUUCCUUGCAAGUGGAAUAGUGUGUCAAGCUGCUGACUUUAAGAUGGAUUGUAUAUUCUCAAAUGGAGGACCAACCCAUCUACUAGAGAGAAGAUAAAAGAUGUUAAGAUGUGCAUCCAUGCAUGACACUUUGUGAAGAUCAACCUCAAAUUAUUUGCUCAACUCAUGGUAGUUAAAUCAUGGUGAACAAGAGUUGGAUUAAGAGUAAAAAUAGGUGCUCCACUGAGUACAUACAAGGGGUGAAAUGCUUCAUGAAUGUGGCACGCAACCAUAUGGAUUCACUAAGCCAGACUCGAUGUCCCUGUCGUAGUUGCUUGAAUGUUUUGUUUCAACCUAUAGAUGAUGUCGAAGAGCACCUAUUUGUGCAUGGAUUUGAUAGCACAUAUAUCAAAUGGAUACAUCACGGGGAUAAUAGACUUGAAUCAAUGAACAAAGAUGUUAAUGACAAACCCUCAACCAAAGACUCAUUACAAAAAACCUCGGUACAAAUUUGCUUUGAUCUAAUUAGUGAUGAGUCUAGUUCUGUUCGAGGUCUUUCCCAGAACGAGGUUCCAAAAUCCUUUAUGAUGCAUACUAAGGUGGAUGUAGCAGCAGUUGAAAAUAUGACUCUACUAGAGGAAACAGUUGAGGAGCACGGACGCAUUCUUGCUGCAAUGCAAUCUCAGCUAGCUCACAUCACCUCGUGGCUACAACAUUUCAGAUCAAGGCAGAAGCCAUCCCAAGACACUCCUUCAUGAUUUUGUAUGGUACAAACAUGGACACUUUAUUAUCCUCUCCUACUUGAAGGUGAUAUUUUGAACUUGAGCGAUAUUUUUAUUUUGGAUUUGUAGUUUAGUCUUGCAAAAUCUUAAUCUACGUACGAUUGUUUUAGAAUAUGAUAAUAAGUUUAUAUUUAUUUAUAAUACUACAGUUUUAUUUA